GGCUAGCUCAGUCGGUAGAGCAUGAGACUCUUAAUCUCAGGGUCGUGGGUUUGAGUCCCAACUUGUGUCA
rnacentral:tRNA from 1 species